UACGUAGGGGGCAAGCGUUAUCCGGAUUUACUGGGUGUAAAGGGAGCGUAGACGGUUAUGCAAGUCAGAAGUGAAAGCCCAAAGCUCAACUUCGGGACUGCUUUUGAAACUGUGUAACUAGAGUGCAGGAGGGGUAAGCGGAAUUCCUAGUGUAGCGGUGAAAUGCGUAGAUAUUAGGAGGAACACCGGCGGCGAAGGCGGCUUACUGGACUGUAACUGACGCUGAGGCAUGAGAGCAUGGGGAGCAAACAGG
rnacentral:rRNA from 1 species